AAUGAACGCUGGCGGCAUGCCUAACACAUGCAAGUCGAACGACAGCACAGGAAGCGGUUGCUCUUGCGGGUGGCGAGUGGCGGAAGGGUGACGCAUGCAUCGGAUACCUCUUUUUCGUGGGUGAUAACGUCGGAAAAUUUCUGCUAACACAGCAUAUGUCGUACGGGUGAAAGCAGGGGUUCUUCGGGCUUUUCGGGAUUGUAAGAGCCGAUGUCGGAUUAGCUAGGUGGCUGGGUAAAGGCCUAGCAAAGCCACGAUACGAAGCAGAUCUGACCGGAUGGUCGGCCACACUGGAACUGAGACACGGUCCAGACUCCUACGGGAGGCAGCAGUCGGGAAUAUUACGCAAUGGGCGCAAGCCUGAUACAGCAAUACCGCGUGAGUGAUGAAGGCCUUCGGCUGGUAAAGCGCUGUUGUUGGGAAAGAAAAGAAGCAGUUUUAUACGCGACGAUUCUGACGGUACCCAAAGAAUAAGCACCGGCUAACUACGUG
rnacentral:rRNA from 1 species